GCCCAUGUAGCUCAGGGGUAGAGCACUCCCUUGGUAAGGGAGAGGUCGGCAGUUCAAUUCUGCCUAUGGGCACCA
rnacentral:tRNA from 1 species